GUAGGUGGCAAGCGUUGUCCGGAAUUAUUGGGCGUAAAGCGCGCGCAGGUGGUUCUUUAAGUCUGAUGUGAAAGCCCCCGGCUCAGCCGGGGAGGGUCAUUGGAAACUGGGGAACUUGAGUGCAGGAGAGGAAAGUGGAAUUCCACGUGUAGCGGUGAAAUGCGUAGAUAUGUGGAGGAACACCAGUGGCAAAGGCGACUUUCUGGCCUGUAACUGACACUGAGGCGCGAAAGCGUGGGGAGCAAACAGGGAUUAGAUACCCUGGUAGUCCACGCCGUAAACGAUGAGUGCUAAGUGUUGGGGGGGGUUUCCGCCCCCUCAGUGCUGCAGCUAACGCAUUAAGCACUCCGCCUGGGAGUACGGUCGCAAGACUG
rnacentral:rRNA from 1 species